AACAUCGCGCACCUGCGGGAACCUGCGGAAGGAUCAUUACUGAGUGAGGGCCAUAGGCCCAACCUCCAACCCAAUGUUUCCACACCUCGUUUCCUCGGGGGCGACCCGGCUCAAGCUGGCCGGGGCCCCCGGUGGACCGCUCCAACUCGGUUUUUAAAUGCGUCAGAGUGAGAAGUUUUAAUUGAAACAAAACUUUCAGCAACGGAUCU
rnacentral:misc_RNA from 1 species